CAAUAGCAUAUAUUAACGUUGUUGCAGUUGAAAAGCUCGUAGUUGAACUUUUGGUAGGAGCGACCUGGCCUUGGGCGCAUGCCCUUGUUUGCCGUGUGUCGUAUCUGGCCAUCCUUUUCCGCUUCGGCGGGAAUCCUUUACUGUGAGUAAACUGGAGUGCUCAAAACAAGACGUUUGUUUGGUACAUUAAAGCAUGGAAUAAUAAGAUAGGACCUGGUUACUAUUUUGUUGGUUUGCAUAGCUAGGUAAUGAUUAACAGGGACAGUUGGGGGUAUUCGUAUUUAAUUGUCAGAGGUGAAAUUCUUGGAUUUAUGAAAGACGAACGACUGCGAAAGCAUUUACCAAGGAUGUUUUCAUUAA
rnacentral:rRNA from 1 species